GGGGCUCAUGCCAAACCCUUUUAACUUCAGCACACUUGACCUUGCUGUAACCUUGAUUUUAAAGCUUGUCUGAUUUUUUGCUAUUCUAGUUAGGUACUGAGAGCAAGGUUGGUCGUAAAUCAUACACACAUGAUCUGAUUGUGUAUUAAAGACAUGUUCCAAAUCCGUGUAAAUAUUGAAACCAUCCUUUUCACCAUCACCCUCAACAUCAAUUGUAGUGAUGUUGAAUUCAACUUUCUUAUCAUAUUCCUCGUUCUCAGGAAGGAUAAAGCAAAAAACAAAACCCAACAAAGGGGAGAGAUGAAGUGGAGAGAGAUCAACAAUCAUGUCAUCGUUUGUUGUCUCGUUUGUUGUCUUGUACUCAAACCAAUCUGGAACACUACUUCCAGAAUACACAUACAAUGCUUGAUAAGAAUCAAAGUUAUCUUUGUAAUCAACAUAAGUUUCAACAUAAUCAUCAUGUUCCACUGUUGAUAAAUCUUGAUAUGCAAACUUCAUCAAAUUGAUUUGCAGAUUCAACCCAAUAUUUAUCAGAGAACGCUCAUCCAAGUUCAAGCAAUUCCAGAACUUAACUUCUUUCUUGUUUUCCUUGAAUUGUUCAGCAACUGUUGAAGGGAACAAUACAGACUUCAGUGAGUCACAGUGAACAAGUAGAAUUUCAACUGAUGAAGAAAGCUCGGGUAGAGCCAGAAGCUUGUUGGAAAAUCGUAUGUCUAGUUUUCUUAGCCUCGUAAGAUUCUUGAUGCUUGAAGGUAUGAUCUCAAUGUUACAACUUCUUAAAUCCAGGAUUUCAACUGAUAAAGGAAGCUCGGGUAGAGCCAGAAGCUUUUUGCAACCGCAUAUGUUUAAUUUUCUUAGUCUUGUAAGAUCCUUGAUGCUUGAAGGUAUGCUCUCAAUUUGAGUGGCUUUUAAAACCAGGGUUUCUAGAUUGCUUUGACAUCCAAAAGAUGAUGGCAGUGCAUUGAUGGGACACCACGAUAGAUCUAGUUCUACUAUAUUCUCUAAAGUCACUGAGAAUUCACUUAGUUUUUCGCAACCUGAAAGGCUGAGAUAAUGGAGGGAGCUUAAAUUGGAAUUGCUGGUAAAUGUUGUAAGGGAACGGCAACCUCCUAGGUCCAAACGCACAAGCUUCUCAAGAGUAAAAAUAGAUGGAUGGACGCUUUCCAAAUUAGGACAAACAGUGACUGUCAAUACUUUAAGAUUUGUGGCUUUUGAAAAGUCUGGCAACUCCUUCAGGCUUGCUAAACUGAUUGUAACUUCCUUUAAAUUAACUAGAUUCUGCUACCAAAAAAAAAUUGGUGCGAUCAAA
rnacentral:lncRNA from 1 species